rnacentral:misc_RNA from 1 species
UCCCUCUCUUCAAAAUCUAAGUAAAUUUGUAGAACUUCAUAUGCGUUGUAGCAAACUCAUACAACCGUGGAGUGGAGGAGAUAAGGUGCGGUUUUUAAAUUUUAGAUACAUUUUAUAAAGUUAAUUUGUAUAUUCUAAUUUAUUGAUAUUUUUCUAUUUAAUUACAGCCUCUUGGAAGUUUGAAAUUGAUGGACCUUAGCUAGUCUUGUAACCUGAUCAGGAUUCUGAACUUGUCAAAACUUCAUAUGCGUUAUAGCAAACUCAUGCAACCGUGGAGUAGAGGAAACAAGGUAUAGUUGUUAAAUUUUAGAAACAUUUUAUAGAAGUUAAUUUGAUUCUUCUAAUUUAUUGAUAUAUUUCGAUUUAAUUACAGAUACAGCCUCUUGGAAAUUUUAAAUUAAUGAACCUCAGCUACUCUCAAGACCUGAUCAGGAUUCCGGACUUGUCUAGUAUUGCCCCAAAUAUCGAGUUUUUAUAUUUGAAAAGAUGUUAUAGUUUGGUUGAAAUUCCCUCUCUUAAAAAUCUGAGCAAUCUUACUGAACUUGAUCUAUGUGAAUGUUAUAAAGUCAAAGAUUGUCCAGAGAUUCCGU